GACGAGGGGUCCUAGCGUUGUUCGGAAUCAUUGGGCGUAAAGCGUGUGUAGGUGGCCAUCCAAGUCAGUUGUGAAAGCCCCGGGCUACCAACCCGGGGAAGUGCUUCUGAUACUGUUUGGCUUGAGUACUGGAGAGGAUAGUAGAAUUCCUGGUGUAGUGGUGAAAUGCGCAGAUAUCAGGAGGAACACCGGUGGCGAAGGCGGGUCUCUGGGCCGAUACUGACGCUGAGGAGCGAAAGCGUGGGGAGCGAACAGG
rnacentral:rRNA from 1 species